CUUAGCGGCGAAUGGGUGAGUAACACGUACUUAACCGUACCUCUUAGAUUGGGAUAACGCUGAGAAAUUAGCGCUAAUACCGGAUACUUAUAAGGAAGGCAUCUUCCUUAUAUAAAAGGAGCUCUCAAGCUCCACUAGGAGAUCGGGGUGCGGAACAUUAGCUAGUUGGUAAGGUAAUGGCUUACCAAGGCUAUGAUGUUUAACGGGGUUGAGAGACUGAUCCGUCACACUGGGACUGAGAUACGGCCCAGACUCCUACGGGAGGCAGCAGUAGGGAAUUUUCCACAAUGGGCGAAAGCCUGAUGGAGCGACACAGCGUGCAGGAUGAAGGCCUUCGGGUUGUAAACUGCUGUUAUUUAGGAUGAAAAAAUAGUAGAGGAAAUGCUAUUAUCUUGACAGUACUAAAUCAGAAAGCAACGGCUAACUAUGUGCCAGCAGCCGCGGUAAUACAUAGGUUGCAAGCGUUAUCCGGAAUUAUUGGGCGUAAAGCGUCUGUAGGUUGUUAGUUAAGUCUGGCGUCAAAACUUGGGGCUCAACCCCAAAUCGCGUUGGAUACUGGCUAACUAGAAUUGUGUAGAGGUUAACGGAAUUCCUUGUGAAGCGGUGAAAUGCGUAGAUAUAAGGAAGAACAUCAACUUGGCGAAGGCAGUUAACUGGGCACAUAUUGACACUGAGAGACGAAAGCGUGGGGAGCAAACAGGAUUAGAUACCCUGGUAGUCCACGCCGUAAACGAUGAUGAUUAGCUGAUGGGAACCAUCGGCGCAGCUAACGCAUUAAAUCAUCCGCCUGAGUAGUAUGCUCGCAAGAGUGAAACUUAAAGGAAUUGACGGGGAUCCGCACAAGCGGUGGAGCAUGUGGUUUAAUUUGAAGAUACGCGUAGAACCUUACCCACUCUUGACAUC
rnacentral:rRNA from 1 species